GAUGAACGCUGGCGGCGUGCUUAACACAUGCAAGUCGAACGGAAAGGCCCAAGCUUGCUUGGGUACUCGAGUGGCGAACGGGUGAGUAACACGUGGGUGAUCUGCCCCGCACUUCGGGAUAAGCCUGGGAAACUGGGUCUAAUACCGGAUAGGACAGUGGUUUGGAUGCCAUUGUGGAAAGUUUUUUCGGUGUGGGAUGAGCUCGCGGCCUAUCAGCUUGUUGGUGGGGUAAUGGCCUACCAAGGCGUCGACGGGUAGCCGGCCUGAGAGGGUGUACGGCCACAUUGGGACUGGGAAACGGCCCAGACUCCUACGGGGGGCAGCAGUGGGGAAUAUUGCACAAUGGGCGCAAGCCUGAUGCAGCGACGCCGCGUGGGGGAUGACGGCCUUCGGGUUGUAAACUCCUUUCGCUAGGGACGAAGCGUUAUGUGACGGUACCUAGAGAAGAAGCACCGGCUAACUACGUG
rnacentral:rRNA from 1 species